GUGGCAGUAGUGGUAGUAGUAGUGGUAGUAGUGGUAGUAGUUAGUAGUGGUAGUAGUUAGUAGUGGGGGCGGAGUCGCUGUGGAACACGGAGUCGCGGUGGGCUAUGCGCGCUGAGAUACAUCUCCGGACCUGCCAUGUGUGAAGCAGCACCUUACAGGAAAUGCAUAAAAUGAACCCAUUCAGGAGGACUGGGAGGGAGGCGGUUCAGGCUAUGGCGGAGGCGGCGGGCUGGGUCUUUGCCAUGGUUUCCACACAGAGCUCGGCUGAGCUGCUUAGAGGUGCUGCAGGGUGAAAACCUGGGGACGACUGGGUGCCAGCACAGUAAUGCAAAUGUGGAGAUAGUAGACGCAGGGCAUGCUGGGAAAAAUGUCUGUAAGAGUGUUUGCGAGGCGUAGGCUGAAUGGUGGAUUUUGACAGUUGAACUGUGAAGGAAAUCUUGGCUCAACACGUACGUAUGUGUGAAACUCAGUCUGGAAUAGAUGUACUUGACGGAAGGACAGACAGAAACACACACACACACACACACACACACACACACACACACACACACACACACACACACACACACACACACACACACACACACACACACACACACACACACACACACACACACUCGUCU